rnacentral:rRNA from 1 species
CUGGCGGCAGGCCUAACACAUGCAAGUCGAGCGGAUGAAAGGAGCUUGCUCCUGGAUUCAGCGGCGGACGGGUGAGUAAUGCCUAGGAAUCUGCCUGGUAGUGGGGGACAACGUUUCGAAAGGAACGCUAAUACCGCAUACGUCCUACGGGAGAAAGCAGGGGACCUUCGGGCCUUGCGCUAUCAGAUGAGCCUAGGUCGGAUUAGCUAGUUGGUGAGGUAAUGGCUCACCAAGGCGACGAUCCGUAACUGGUCUGAGAGGAUGAUCAGUCACACUGGAACUGAGACACGGUCCAGACUCCUACGGGAGGCAGCAGUGGGGAAUAUUGGACAAUGGGCGAAAGCCUGAUCCAGCCAUGCCGCGUGUGUGAAGAAGGUCUUCGGAUUGUAAAGCACUUUAAGUUGGGAGGAAGGGUUGU